rnacentral:rRNA from 1 species
UACGGGGGGGGCAAGCGUUGUUCGGAAUUACUGGGCGUAAAGGGUUCGUAGGUGGCCAACUAAGUCAGACGUGAAAUCCCUCAGCUUAACUGGGGAACUGCGUCUGAUACUGGUUGGCUUGAGUGCAGGAGAGGAACGCGGAAUUCCAGGUGUAGCGGUGAAAUGCGUAGAUAUCAGGAGGAAUACCGAUGGCGAAGGCAGGUCUCUGGGCUGACACUGACGCUCAUGCACGAAAGCGUGGGGAGCAAACAGG